ensembl:snRNA U4 U4 spliceosomal RNA
AGCUUUGCGCAGUGGCAGUAUCGUAGCCAAUGAGAUUUAUCCGAGGCACGAUUAUUGCUAAUAGAUGUUGUUCUUUCAAGGAAUAGGAAACUGAGAUGUGAACACA